rnacentral:lncRNA from 1 species
GCUGGCUCUUUGGCUUUGGGCUGAACCCAACCCCCAUUUCUCUGCACUGGUCCCAUGGCCUAUGGCUAGUCUACCCCCCCUCCCCCCGGGCCUUUGCUCAUCUGCAAUGUGGCCAGGGGCAGUGCUCCAUGCUUGCCAGGUGUGAACAUGGUGGUGAGUCCUGGCAAGAACAAGAAUGGAUCACAGAUGAUCGUUGGCCAACAGGUGGCAGAAGAGGAAUCCCUGCCUUUCUCAAGAGGAACACCUACCCCGUGGCUAAUGCUGGGGGAUGAAUUCUGAGCUGGUUCUGUGCCCCACUCAAGAGGAAGGAUGGAUCAACUUUAAGUGGAUUGAAGCCUGCACUAGAUGGCAUCCAAAGAUCUUCUUCAGAAGAAUAGGCUUGUUGCUCUACAGUGUUAGUGACCUGUUCCCUUUGACGAUCCCUAGGUGGAGAUGGGGCAUGAGGAUCCUCCAGGGGAAAAGCUCACUACCACUGGGCAACAACCCUAGGCCAGGAGGUUUUAUCAAGAUUCUUCCCUGGUCCCAGGGAGGAAGAUGAACUCUCAAAACCACCACCACCCUUCAGAGGUCCUGAUUGUUCCUUCUUUUCUGCCAAAUCACUGUCUUCCCAAAACAG